rnacentral:lncRNA from 13 species
AUUUCUUCAUCUGAGCUCAGAAAACACCUUCUCUCAUUGGCUUUGAGGUUUGACACUUUUUCCACUCACAUCCUGAAGAGACAGCGACAAGUAUGUUUUCAAGGUUCUUCCAUAUUGUAGCAUGAAUGACACGGUUGAUUUUAAACAUACGGAUGUUGAACCAAUGGACACACCAAACCAGGGUUUCAUCCCCAGUGCCUGGUACCACAGCAAAUAUGUGCCUCGUGAAUCAGUGAAUGCAUAGCUCAGAGGGCCACCUGCACUCUCUUCUGUGCUUCUCCCUCUGCACCUACUUUACUCUUGGCUUUCUCCACUAUGCAGAUAGAGGGUCACACCUCGGAAGGCAUAGAGGAGCCAGCAGGGUUACAUCUUUCUAUUCAAAAGACCAGCAGAAACUAGUGUCCCUGAAUCCAAUUCCGAAUGUCCAGCGAAGAAUGUAUGAUUGGCCUCUUAUCUAAGUUCCGAGUUCUCCUGGAAUCCAUCAGCCAUGGGUUGGGGGAUGGGGGUAGGGGUUGAGGGACAUGGUAUAAAUAUGGCUCCUGAGCUCCACUCCCGCGAGAGGAGGGCAGCUUUGAAAAGUAGAUUCCACAGAAGAUAUGGACCAAACCAAAUCAGGACUGAAGGUAUUGCAGCUGUUUUGCUCUAGAGAAGAGAAGGCUCUAGCAACCAUGAGAACAGUCUUCUGGUAGCUGAAGGGGUGCCUGCAAAUAUGUGAAUGAUCCUGUAGGGGAUAAGGUGGCUGAUUGAGCAGAGGAAGGAGAGGCAUUCCGCCAGGGAGUGCUGCCAGUUCUGCAGUGGGCUGUUCUGGGAGCAGGAGCCUCCCCAAGGGGCAAGGGGGAGGCAGAGCUAUGAUUUCCUUAAGCAGCAGGUGUUCUAGUGUCCCAGCUCUGAGGGAAGUCGCAUAAAUGACUCACAGGCUUCUUCCAGUGUUAAGGUUUUGUGAUAUUUCUUCCUAAUCCUUCCACUCCCACCCCACCUCCUCCUGUCUUCUCUCUCUUUUAUUUUAUCCAGUUACCACCUAAAUCAGGGGCUGUUAGUUGGAGAGGACAUCAUGAAGCCCAGGAGUAUCCUAAAAUUAGAUGCAAAAUUGUAGGGGAGGGGGUUAGGACUCAUGUAGAUUUAUCAGAGAGAGGGUUCAGUCAAGGGGACCAUGACCAAGAAGAGGGUGGGAAGCAAUGCCUGAAAGAGAAGUGCUUGGAAAGGCAGCUUACAAUACCAGUGAAAUACAGAAACAGAGAUGGAGUCGGAAAUACAACUGGAAAAUGGAGAAAUCAAAUGUAUUUUCUAAUACUGGGUCUACACAGCUGCUAUGAUUAAACUUCAAGUUAAAUUUUGAGCUUCCUGGCAGCUGGAGAAACCCAGUUUAUAUAUCGAUGGGAAGCAGCAGUCCAUCAAGAGCAAUGAAGCUAUUUCUAACCCUGACUUCUAAAAGAAAUUUCCCUCCAGGCUAAAAAUAUC